AUCAAUAUUUUAAACUUUCAAGAUGAAACAGAUGAGAAAUUACGACAAGCAAAUACAUUUGUCCAAACACUCAGUGAUGAACAAAUUAUAUACAGAACUUUUGAUCAUCCGAUAGGGAAUGUGCAAAACAUACCUUACGGCGUUAAAUACUGUAUACAAGGAUAUUUUCUUCCUUCUUCAGGAACAAUGUAUGAAUUCGUUAGUUAUCAUCCAUUGAUGCAAUAUUAUGGAUUCACUCUGGACGGAACUUCCAUUGAAGUUUUACGUCCACCAGUUCUUUUACAUUCCAAAGAAUUCAACCGUAUGUAUCAAGAUAAGUUAGAAGUACUGAAUGCAAAGGAUUUGCAUAUGCAGCCACCAUAUUGUGUUCCUUGUAUCAACGUGUCAUCUCCCGAUAUCAUAUCACGUUUUCUGUUUAACUUAUCAUCAAAUAAAUAAUGCUCAAUACAGCACUGCUAAAAAAUUAGAUUAAUCUAACGAAUGUAGAAACGGAACUAUUUCAAACUGAUACUUUUCUUAUGCAAAUUUAUUAUUUUCUAUGAUGACACACUACACAUCGAACUGACAAAGGGACGAGACCAUCGGCACACAGAUUCAAUUGGACGGCUUAAUGCGUUUAGGACAGCUCCUGCGCGAGUUACAGUAUAGGAGCCGGCUGACGUCACUACCUAAAUCUGAAAUAAAUACUGAGGCAAAUAAAUACACUACUAUAAAUGCAAUCACUUUGGUGCCAAGAAUCAGAAAUCAGCAAUUCAAGUCUGCUCCAUUGAGUGAAUAUAUCGCACAUUCCAAUAAACUCAAAAUAUGUCGAGCUGUAUUGUUUUUUAUUUAUAAUUUUAAAACUUAUUUUUUAAUUUUUUCUUUGAAUUCUGACUCUUAGAAUAUUUAGUACAAUAUUGUCAAACUUUAUUUUUGAUUCAUAAGUUCGCUUUAACAUUUUAACAGGAUGUAUAAAUUUAUCAAUAAAUUUGGCUUUGUUAUUACUAAAAGUUUCUGAUUAAUUUUUACUUUACACUCUGCAAAAUUUAUCAUAUAUUUUGUAAUAUAAAGUUUCUCCCGUCACAAUUCUGAAUAAGACUUACAUUAUAUGCAUUCUUUUUAUAAAUAAAUAACUUAUUUCUUGAACUAUUGUCUUGCUGUUGUACUUAAAUUCACGAUCAUUAAAAAAGAUACAAUUCCUUCUUAGUUUUUUUAAAUAAUAUAUGUGACCUGGUCUAAGAAAAGGGAGCUAACGUGUGAAAACUAGUUUAUG